ensembl:lncRNA
GCUACAGACACCAGACAUGGGCUUACAGCAGCUUCUUUCAGGUAUCUGUGCCUGCCAUGUUUGGAGUUCACACUGAUGCAGAGAAAUAGCUGGAAGUGAAACCAGAGCUCUCCUACUUCAGAGGAUACAGGUGCCCGUAUUCAGGGAAAGAGAAGCGUGCCUUCUUCAGCAACAGAAAUCAGAACAUGAAAGGCUCAGAUUCUUAGAAGACCCCUUCUUCAUUAGAACCUCAGAUCAUCAAGGCCCCCAGGAGCUGGAAACAUCCCUCUCCUCUCCUCCCUGGAGCAAGCCUGCAGCCCUGAGAAAGAGCCUGGUCCACAGAUGGGCAUUGCUGCGAGGUCACCAUGUGGUUCCCAAGAGUUCACCUCAGGCUUAGCAUCUAAUUUGCUGUGUGCCUCAGGUAACUACGUUACAAGGGAACAGAGUUCCCCUGGGGAAAGACAGUCGAAGGAGUUGCUGGAGCCAAGAAGACAGCAGCCCAGACGUCCUGGAGGGCUCACUGAUGCUCCCUAG